UGAGCCCCCCAUUCCUCACCCGCCUAUUUCCCUCCGGUGGGGGCUGACCCUGGUGUUCACCUCCCCAGGCGCUGUGCACGGUCACGUGGGGCAGCCUAGGAAAGGCCGGGGACUCAGAGCAGCAGCUCCAUCAACCUCUUUUUAAAGCUCCCCCUUUGCUGAAUGAUUGCAAUAAUUGCACCGCCAUCUCUGCUGUGUGAAGUUGCCCUCCCAGGGCAGCAGGGCAGCAGCUAAUCAGCUGUCCUCUGCCCCUCGGAGACGUCUGAGCAACCUGCCGCUGCAGCUUUCAGCUGCCUGCACGCGGGGCUCGACUCACGUCUGCAUCUGUAUUCCCAGCCAGGCGCACGCAGCUCGGUGGAGGGAUGACAGCCCCUCCAUAGAGUGUUUCUUCCUAGAAGCAGGAGUACAGUGUCCAGCAUUACUCUGGGGCCUCAGUAAGCAUUCACCAAGAGGUAAUGUGAAUGAACUCUACACAGAGAGCCAUGGGAGUAGGUGGGGAUGAAUCAGAGGCACAGUGAAUUGUGAAUUGGCCCUUUCCUAAUGUGACUCAGCUCACCUGCUGCCCAGAUUCACUGCAGCCCUGUUGGUUUCUAAGGAGACCACCGAGCUCUAGGCAGUAGCAGACUGUGUGGACACUGUGUUUCUGUGGCUGUGGAUCCCAUUAUCCAGUGAUCCGCACAUAUGAACCUGUUGGCUGGGGGCUUCCCAGGAAAGCCUUCAUGUCUUUGAACAUCAUUAGAGCAAGAAUGCAGAAAAAGAAAUAUUCCUAAGGUUAUUUGCGGACUCAAAUACCUGCUUGCAGUGAAAUCCUUUGUCUGCUCAUAAAAGGCACUUGAUUUAUGUUCUGGCCACAGAACUGUGCUGAAUGCCAGACGCAUUUAGAAUAACUGGGUUGAGGGCACAGGGAAAGGAUGCAUCAAUGAAUAAAUAGAAAAAAAAUGAAGAAUAUUCCAGAAGGAAAUGCAGGUCUAUGGC
rnacentral:lncRNA from 1 species